GGGGAUUACCAGUAGACCCCUGGCUGUCUUGAAGAAAGCACUGGACAGGCACCUAAAGUCAGUACCUGACCAACCAGGCUGUGGUUCGUACGUCAGCUUGCGUGCGGCAAGCAGUAACAGCCUAGUUGAUCAGACCCUGAUCCACCAUGAGGCCUGGUCUCAGACCGGGCCGUGGGGGCAUUGCCCCCUGAAACCCUCUCCAGGUAACUGGCUAAGGGGGUUUGUGGGAUGCUAGCACAAACAACCUGGUUGACCAAGUCAUCAACAGGAAGCCUGACCCCAGGCUGAGCUGCUGAGGUAGAGGAUCCUCAAAACUAGUCACAAGUCAGGUUAAGGGAGUGGUGAUCAGUCACUGGUGCCAGUGAUGGCACGAGUGCCGGAGGAGAUGGAGGAAGUGUUGGCAUCAGAUAAAACUCAAGAUUUCUCUGCAGUUGGGGCUCUUGGUUGGACAUAUAGAAGACAUCAUACUUAGUAAUGAGUUUUCCACCCUGAGAGAAAACUUCCUAAAGAAACACUGUCACCUAUUUGAUGAUAAUGAUGAGAACAAACUGGAAUACAUGGAUAUUUUCAAACAAA